rnacentral:lncRNA from 1 species
GAAGAGGAACAUGUGGAUGCUACCUCUCAAGAAGCCUCUCCGGUCCCGAGAACAACUGUUCUUCAAGAUGACACCGUCAUCCAUAUUCAAGAAUCGUCGUCCGGGCUGGAGGAAAUUUAAAUGAAGAGCUACAAUCAAACAAUAACGUUAUCUAAGCUACAAACAAACCGAAAAUAAUCAAAUAAAGACAGAAAUAAAAGAAUGGACUCGGCAGAUUCAAGAAGCG